rnacentral:rRNA from 1 species
AGAGUUUGAUCCUGGCUCAGGAUGAACGCUGGCGGCAUGCCUAAUACACGCAAGUCGAACGAGAGGAAGGAAAGCUUGCUUUCCUAAAUCUAGUGGCGAACGGGUGAGUAACACGUAGGUAACCUGCCCAUGUGCCCGGGAUAACUUCUGGAAACGGAUGCUAAAACCGGAUAGGUAGCAGACAAGCAUUUGACUGCUAUUAAAGUGGCUAAGGCCAUGAACAUGGAUGGACCUGCGGUGCAUUAGUUAGUUGGUGAGGUAAAGGCUCACCAAGACCGUGAUGCAUAGCCGACCUGAGAGGGUAAUCGGCCACACUGGGACUGAGACACGGCCCAGACUCCUACGGGAGGCAGCAGUAGGGAAUCUUCCACAAUGGACGAAAGUCUGAUGGAGCAACGCCGCGUGAGUGAAGAAGGUUUUCGGAUCGUAAAACUCUGUUGUUGGAGAAGAAUGUAUCUGAUAGUAACUGAUCAGGUAGUGACGGUAUCCAACCAGAAAGCCACGGCUAACUACGUGCCAGCAGCCGCGGUAAUACGUAGGUGGCAAGCGUUGUCCGGAUUUAUUGGGCGUAAAGCGAGCGCAGGCGGUUUCUUAAGUCUGAUGUGAAAGCCUUCGGCUCAACCGAAGAAGUGCAUCGGAAACUGGGAAACUUGAGUGCAGAAGAGGACAGUGGAACUCCAUGUGUAGCGGUGAAAUGCGUAGAUAUAUGGAAGAACACCAGUGGCGAAGGCGGCUGUCUGGUCUGUAACUGACGCUGAGGCUCGAAAGCAUGGGUAGCAAACAGGAUUAGAUACCCUGGUAGUCCAUGCCGUAAACGAUGAGUGCUAGGGUGUGGGAAGGGUUCCGCCCUU